rnacentral:rRNA from 1 species
GUACACGCUGUGACUAGCAUAUCAAUAAGGCGGAGGAAAAGAAACUAACAAGGAUUCCCCUAGUAACGGCGAGUGAAGCGGGAAGAGCUCAAAUUUGAAAUCUUAAAGGGUUUCCCUUUACGAAUUGUAGUUUAAAGAAGUGUUUUCUGUUGAGGUUUUGGUAAAAGUUCUUUGGAAUAGGACAUCAUAGAGGGUGAGAAUCCCGUAUUUGACCUUUACUUUCAACUUUGUGAUACACUUUCAAAGAGUCGGAUUGUUUGGGAAUGCAGUCCAAAAUGGGUGGUAAAUUUCAUCUAAAGCUAAAUAUUGGCGAGAGACCGAUAGCGAACAAGUACCGUGAGGGAAAGAUGAAAAGAACUUUGAAAAGAGAGUUAAACAGUACGUGAAAUUGUCAAAAGGGAAGCGUUUGACACCAGUGUUGUUUUUCUGAAAAUCAAUUAAAGAACUGUUUAUGCUAAGCUGUUUAGACUUUAUCAGCUAUCUGUUUAGUUUUGAGCUUUUCUUUAAUGCACUUUUCAGUUAACAAGUCAACAUCAAUUUCUUUUGCUGUAAAAAAGCUUGAGGAAGGUGGCUUGAGAUUCGUCUUAAGUGUUUAUAGCCUCUUGCCUAUGCAGUCGGAGAGAUUGAGGUCUGCAGCGUAGAUCCUUCGGGGCUAAAUGCAUUUGUGCUAAGUUAUAGCAUUUUAUAGACAACUUGUUGACUAUGAUUUGUCUUGUAGCUUACUCGCUUAUGUUAUUUUACCUACGCUUAGGAUGUUGAAGAUGUAGCACAUCAU